rnacentral:rRNA from 1 species
AACGGCGAGUGAAGCGGCAAAAGCUCAAAUUUGAAAUCCUUCGGGAGUUGUAAUUUGUAGGUUGGGAGACCCCGCGGCUAGUGGCACCAAGUCCCUUGGAACAGGGCGCCUUAGAGGGUGAGAGCCCCGUAGGUACCACAACACCGUCUUGUGUCUCCUCUCCAAAGAGUCGAGUUGUUUGGGAAUGCAGCUCAAAGUGGGUGGUAAAUUCCAUCUAAAGCUAAAUACCGGCGAGAGACCGAUAGCGAACAAGUACAGUGAUGGAAAGAUGAAAAGCACUUUGAAAAGAGAGUGAAACAGUACGUGAAAUUGUUGAAAGGGAAGGGCUUGCAAGCAGACACGGCCUUCGUGCCGGGCCAGCAUCGGUUGCUAGGGGUGGAUAAGGAACAAGGAAUGUAGCUCCUCGGAGUAUUAUAGCCUUGCGCGAUACACCCACUGGCGACCGAGGCCUGCGGUAUUCUUUACCUAGGAUGCUGGCGUAAUGGUUGCAAGCCGCCCGUCUUGAAA